AUUGUAUAUCAAUGAUAUUUUAAUUUUAAAAAUUUGCUGUUAUUAUCACAAAUUAAAUUCACAUAUUAACCACAUACACAUAUACACAUAUAACUAGUCUGUUUCUGGGCUUUGAUUUAGCUCUUUCAUUCUGUUCUUGUACCAUGGCACAUUGUAGCCCUUUAUUUAUUUAUAUAUUGCUUAUUUAAUAAAGGGUUUGAGGUAAAGGGCUUAAAAUACAGUAAAUUCCUUCCUUUCUCUUUUUUUGAAUUUUCUUUGUUUUCUUGUCUGAUUUUCAUUACGGAUGAACGGUAGAAUCAUUUUAUCAAGUAACAAAAGCUUCCAUUAGAGUCAUGAUUGAUUGUUGUAAAAGUGAGAAAUGAAUUUGGUAGAGAAUCAGCAUCUUUAUAAGACUCAUUUGUUUUAAGAAUAUGGCUUGUCUCCACUUUUUUCCAGUCUUUCAUUGUAUUUCACCACAAAAUUUUGUUAUUUUCUUUAUAUAGUUUCCUCACAUUUUUCAGUAAGGUUACAGCUCAGUAUUUUAUGGUUGGUGUUGCUGUUCCACUGUGAAUAGGGGAAUACACUCACCAUAACUAAUAUACAUUGAAGGACUUCUAUGUGCAGGUAGGUUCUAAGUGCUUUACUAUUUUAACUAAUUUAAUCCUCGUAACAGCAGUAUAAGAUAAGAACUAUUAUUUAUAUUCCCAUUUCAUGGAUUAGGAAACUGAGGCCAGAGGGGGUAGGUUCAGAUAGAAUAUGAAUGAACAGGGCUUUAACCCUCUGCCUUCUGGCUCCACAGGCCAUGAUUUAACUUAUGUUAUUGGGAUAUUUUUAUUAACAAUGUCUUCUAACUGGUUUUUCUUAGCAUAUAAAAUGCUACAGACUUGACUUGUCUUUGUCUUACAUCAAGUGAUUUCUCUGGAUCCUAUUAUCAAUUUUCAUCAUUUUAGAAUUGAUUCUCAUGGAUUUUCUAUGUAUACAAUCAUAUCAUCUGCAAACAGAUAAAUUUGCCUCUCCUUUCCAAAAGUUGUGACCCCAUUUAAAAAAAUUUCCAGUCUUAUUGUUUUGGAUUUUUCAGAGUAAUAUUAAAUAACAGUGAUGAGAGUAGAUUUCUCUGUUUUAUUUUAUUUUGUCAUAAAUUGCUGACUUCAUAUAUCUAUGUAGAUGUUUUUAUAUAUGAAGAAUAUUAAGACUAUUAAGAAUGUUUAUAGAAAAUGGAAUUGAACUACCGUGUUCUCUUUGGUUACUAUUAAAAAUGAUCAAAUGCUUUUCUUCUUUGGUUUAUUUUUGACCUGUUAUAUAAAUAAGUUUCCUAAUACCUAGUCUUGUGUUAAUUCCUAGAAUUAAACCCUAAUUGCUUGCGGUAUGUGAUUAUUAUGUUAAUAUACUGUUGAAUUUUAUGUGUUAAUCUUAAAUAUUUUAGGAUUUUUACAUGUAUAUUAAUAAGUGAGAUUGCAUUGUAGGGUCUUUUUUAGAGGGAUGCUAUUUUAGACAGGUUUUGAUAUUAGUAUAUUUUGGCUUCAUAAACAAAUUGGGUAGUUUUCCAUCUUUUUCUAUGUUCUAGGACAGUUUCUAUUUUCUAUUCAUUUUGACAGAUAAACACUGUAUAAUAGAGAUGACAAGGAAGAGAAUGCAAACUGGCACAGAUUAUUUUGCCUCAGUGACUCUGCCACUUUUGUAGCUGGAGGACAGCCUUGAUUGUGAAGAAGCAAUUUGGAGCAGUAGGAGGGUCAGACAGGCCAUUAUUCUGGUGUUGGUGCAGGCUGGCUGGCAGGCGGAGAAAAGCUUCCAGUGCUCUGGCCUGUUCCUCACUGGCUCCUGUUGGAGAAAGUGAUAUAGGUCAACAUUGACAGUCAUAAGUCACGUUGACAGUAUGUACUCUUGAUAUGAUGCGAUGAAAAUGACACUCUACCUCUGUGAUCUUCCUCCCCAAAACCCAUAAUUCUGGUCUAAUCAUGAGAAAACCAUUAAAUUCCAAUAAGAGGCAUCCUACAGUAUACCUGACUAGUACUCCUCAAAACUGUCAAGGUCUUUGAAAACAGAGCAUCUGAGAAACUGUCACAGCCCAGAGGAGCCUAAGAAGACAUGGCAACUAUAUGUAACCUGGUAUCCUGGAUGGGAUCUUGGAACAGAAAGUGGACGUUAGGUAAAAACUAAGGAACUCUGAACAAACUAUGGACUUUAGUUAAUAAAAAUGUAUCAGUAUUGGUCCAUGAAUCGAAACGAAUGUACCAUAAUAAUGUUAAGAUGUUAAUAAUAGAGAAAGCUGUGGGGAGGCAUAUGGGAACUUGCUGGGCUAUCUGCUCAAUUUUUAUGUACAUUUAAAACUGUUCUAAGAAAUAAAGUCUAGUAAUAAUAAUGACUACAGGAAUCAAAUGAAGACUAAGAUGGAACAAAAGCACAUCCAAUCCCUUUAGGA